CUCAAGCAAGUUUGUUAGAAGUAGCAACAACUUGUACAAGCUAGAACACUGAUGGGAAGCGUGUUCACAGCAGUUCAGAAGAGUACUGACAGUGACCUUCUCACUCGUUUUAGACUGACAGUUCAACGGAAUGAUCACUCCCAAUUCAAACUCAACAACCAAAUGGAUGAAUAAGACAGAUGAAUAACAGCACUUUCAUAACAACAAGGUCGAGGCACCAGGCAGGCUACUGUAUGCUGUUACAUGCAACCUCCUACGGAGCUGUGGAGAUAUGAUAAAAAGAAGGGAAAAAGAGAGUUUACUGGUUCUGAAUGUGUUUGCAUUGUGCCUUAAAGAGCUGCUGAAUUUCAUGUUUCAACUAGGUUUGCUAAUACAGCUUAAGUUAUGAAAGCACCUUCCUCCACCUGCUUCCUCACUCCCACCUUUUAUCCUUCAUUGCUGUGUGUGUGUGUGUGUGUGUGUGUGUGUGUGUGUGUGUGUGUGU